CAUGCAAGUCGAACGAAGUAGCAAUACUUAGUGGCAGACGGGUGAGUAACAUGUGGGUAUCUACCCUUUGGCCUGGAAUAACACGAGGAAACUUGUGCUAAUACCGGAUAAGUCUUUACGGAGAAAGCUUUAUGCACCAUUGGAUGAGCCCGCACUUGAUUAGUUUGUUGGUGGGGUAAUGGCCUACCAAGACUGUGAUCAAUAGCUGAUUUGAGAGGAUGAUCAGCCACAUUGGGACUGAGACACGGCCCAAACUCCUACGGGAGGCAGCAGUGGGGAAUCUUGCACAAUGGAGGAAACUCUGAUGCAGCGAUGCCGCGUGAGUGAAGAAGGCCCUUGGGUUGUAAAGCUCUUUCGUCGGGGAAGAAAAUGACUGUACCCGAAUAAGAAGGUCCGGCUAACUUCGUGCCAGCAGCCGCGGUAAUACGAAGGGACCUAGCGUAGUUCGGAAUUACUGGGCUUAAAGAGUUCGUAGGUGGUUGAAAAAGUUAGUGGUGAAAUCCCAGAGCUUAACUCUGGAACUGCCAUUAAAACUUUUCAGCUAGAGUAUGAUAGAGGAAAGCAGAAUUUCUAGUGUAGAGGUGAAAUUCGUAGAUAUUAGAAAGAAUACCAAUUGCGAAGGCAGCUUUCUGGAUCAUUACUGACACUGAGGAACGAAAGCAUGGGUAGCGAAGAGGAUUAGAUACCCUCGUAGUCCAUGCCGUAAACGAUGUGUGUUAGACGUUGGAAAUUUAUUUUCAGUGUCGCAGCGAAAGCGAUAAACACACCGCCU
rnacentral:rRNA from 1 species